GUCCCCAUCGUCUAGCCUGGUCAGGACACAGGAUUUUCAUUCCUGUAACAGGGGUUCGAAUCCCCUUGGGGACGCCA
rnacentral:tRNA from 2 species